rnacentral:rRNA from 1 species
UGCAGUCGUGCGAGAAAGUACCUUCGGGUGCGAGUAGAGCGGCGGACGGGUGAGUAACGCGUAGGAAUCUACCUAGUAGAAGGGGAUAGCCCGAGGAAACUCGGAUUAAUACCGUAUACCUCCUUAGGGAGAAAGAGGGCUUAGCUUUGAUGCUCUCGCUAUUAGAUGAGCCUGCGUAAGAUUAGCUUGUUGGUGAGGUAAUGGCUCACCAAGGCGACGAUCUUUAGCUGGUCUGAGAGGACGAUCAGCCACAUUGGGACUGAGACACGGCCCAGACUCCUACGGGAGGCAGCAGUGGGGAAUAUUGGACAAUGGGCGCAAGCCUGAUCCAGCCAUACCGCGUGUGUGAAGAAGGCUUUCGGGUUGUAAAGCACUUUAAGUAAGGAGGAAAAGAUUGUAGUUAAUACCUGCAAUCCGUGACGUUACUUACAGAAUAAGGACCGGCUAAUUCCGUGCCAGCAGCCGCGGUAAUACGGAAGGUCCAAGCGUUAACCGGAAUUACUGGGCGUAAAGCGCGCGUAGGUGGUUUUUUAAGUUGGAUGUGAAAGCCCUGGGCUCAACCUAGGAACUGCAUCCAAAACUAGAUGACUAGAGUACGAAAGAGGGAAGUAGAAUUCACAGUGUAGCGGUGGAAUGCGUAGAUAUUGUGAAGAAUACCAAUGGCGAAGGCAGCUUCCUGGUUCUGUACUGACACUGAGGUGCGAAAGCGUGGGUAGCGAACAGGAUUAGAUACCCUGGUAGUCCACGCCGUAAACGAUGACAACUAGCUGUUGGGAGACAAGAUCUCUCAGUGGCGCAGCUAACGCUUUAAGUUGUCCGCCUGGGGAGUACGGCCGCAAGGUUAAAACUCAAAUGAAUUGACGGGGNCCCGCACAAGCGGUGGANCAUGUGGUUUAAUUCGAUGCNACGCGAAAAACCNUACCUACUCNNGACAUACUUGGGAA